GCACAUGCGCAGAAUCAUCGUUGUGCACGGCUCUCCCUUUGCUUCUUCGGUUGCAGUCCUCUUGCUUCUUGCGCGUGCGUGUAGCGCUUUUGCAAAGCCGCCGAGGUGAAGCGAACGUAGAGGCUGUGGGGCCGAGGGUCCUCUUAUAGCUAUCAGCCCACAGGCAUUUAGUCUACGUUGGAGAUAAACAAAUACGGGUCCAGCUUAGGAGAAAAGAAAAACGUCUUACAGCCAGUGUCUAAACUCCAAACAACGGAAUCUAUCAAUGAGACCUUGUAUAUGGAUACACGUGCAUUUAAAACGGCCCUGCCGGCGUGUAGAGCUCUUGCCGUUCGCCAGCGCUUUACAGGGGUUAUCGCACUUAAGCCUCGGAACAACUUUAAAAGAUGAGGACACCUGAGGCUCAGAUUAAGAAAUCUGCCCCAAAGUCUUAGAACUGUGAUUCUACCAGAAAGGAAUGAAGAACAGAACCUUCAGGAAUUGAGUCACAAUGCAGACAAAUAUCAAAUGGGAGAUUGUUGCAAGGAAGAGAUUGAUGAUAGUAUUUUCUACUAGCCAUUGGGAAGAUAAAAGGAGACAGAAGAUUGAAGCCUUUGCCAGCCAUUCUUUCCCUUUUUGCUUCCAAACUCCUCAACUGGAAACCUUCAUAUGUGCAGUAUUUAUAUUGGAUCAUACUGGUGAUUAUAAAGGUUCCUAGGAGGCUAGAAGAGCCAACCAACAGAGAAGGGAAAGCAGUCUGUUCUGAACAUAGGGACAUAAGUUCAUUCAUGCCAAGUAUCUUUCCAGCAUGUUUCUCCCAUUUAGAACAUCUAGCAUGUAAGGCCUUUUAAUAUUAAUAUAAGCCCAGUAUCAGCUCUUUCCCUUUGUAUUUCAUCUCUUUCUACUCUCCUAUUUGUAUUUUGUGUUCCUAUCAAAGUGUCAUAUCUGGGAGAUGACCUGCCUGUUCCUGUUCUAUAACAGUUUUGUUUGCUGCUGUGUCUCUAGAACAGUGCCUGGCACACAGUAAGCACUCAAUAAACCUUUGAUGAAUGAAUGAAUGGUUAUCUUUUCUCUCUGGCAAUCCAAAUUCACCACUCCUUAAAAAUUCUACAUAAGAUUUGCCAGCUGGGCGCAAUGGCUCACGCCUGUAAUCCCAGCACUUUGGGAGACUGAGGCAGGUGGAUCACCUGAGGUCAGGAGUUUAGCCUCAACAUAGUGAAACCCCAUCUCUACUAAAAGUACAAAAAUUAACCGGGCGUGGUGGCAGGUGCCUGUAAUCCCAGCUACUUGGGAGACUGAGGCAGGAGAAUCACUUGAGCCCGGCAGGGGGGCAGAGGUUGCAGUGAGCCGAGAUCACGCCACUUCACUCCAGCCUGGGCAAAAGAGCGAAACUCCGUCUCCAAAAAAAAAAAAAAAAAAAAAAAAAGAUUUGCCUAUUCCAGCAGACUUCUACCCAAUAUCAAUCUAGAUUUAAAUCACUUUAUUUUCCACAUCUCUUUAGCAAUUAUGUAUAGUUUGCACUUCAUUAACCUACCCUUAUUUAUGUUACUUCUCACAUACACCCUUAUCUCUUCUGCAUUUUCAAUCAAAAGAUAAUGCUCAAAUGUUAUAUAUAUUGUAUGUGCCACUCAACAGUGCCUCAUAUGCUGCAAAAAAAAAAAAAAAAAAAAAA